rnacentral:rRNA from 1 species
GAUGAACGCUGGCGGCGUGCCUAAUACAUGCAAGUCGAGCGAACGGACGAGAAGCUUGCUUCUCUGAUGUUAGCGGCGGACGGGUGAGUAACACGUGGAUAACCUACCUAUAAGACUGGGAUAACUUCGGGAAACCGGAGCUAAUACCGGAUGAUAUUUUGAACCGCAUGGUUCAAAAGUGAAAGACGGUCUUGCUGUCACUUAUAGAUGGAUCCGCGCUGCAUUAGCUAGUUGGUAAGGUAACGGCGUACCAAGGCAACGAUGCAUAGCCGACCUGAGAGGGUGAUCGGCCACACGGGAACUGAGACACGGUCCAGACUCCUACGGGAGGCAGCAGUAGGGAAUCUUCCGCAAUGGGCGAAAGCCUGACGGAGCAACGCCGCGUGAGUGAUGAAGGUCUUCGGAUCGUAAAACUCUGUUAUUAGGGAAGAACAUAUGUGUAAGUAACUGUGCACAUCUUGACGGUACCUAAUCAGAAAGCCACGGCUAACUACGUG